AGAGUUUGAUCCUGGCUCAGAGUGAACGCUGGCGGCAGGCCUAACACAUGCAAGUCGAACGGCAGCACGGCAGUAGCAAUACUGUGGGUGGCGAGUGGCGGACGGGUGAGGAAUACAUCGGGAUCUACCCUGUUGUGGGGGAUAACGUAGGGAAACUUACGCUAAUACCGCAUAAGAACUGAGGUUGAAAGCGGCGGACCGCAAGGCGUCGCGCGAUUGGAUGAACCGAUGUCCGAUUAGCUAGUUGGCGGGGUAAAGGCCCACCAAGGCGACGAUCGGUAGCUGGUCUGAGAGGACGACCAGCCACACUGGAACUGAGACACGGUCCAGACUCCUACGGGAGGCAGCAGUGGGGAAUAUUGGACAAUGGGCGCAAGCCUGAUCCAGCCAUGCCGCGUGGGUGAAGAAGGCCUUCGGGUUGUAAAGCCCUUUUGUCCGGAAAGAAAAGCAUUCGGUUAAUACCCGGGUGUUCUGACGGUACCGGAAGAAUAAGCACCGGCUAACUUCGUG
rnacentral:rRNA from 1 species